rnacentral:rRNA from 1 species
GACGUAGGGCGCGAGCGUUGUCCGGAUUUAUUGGGCGUAAAGAGCUCGUAGGCGGCUUGUUGCGUCGUCCGUGAAAACCCGUGGCUUAACUGCGGGCUUGCGGUCGAUACGGGCGGGCUGGAGUUCGGUAGGGGAGACUGGAAUUCCUGGUGUAGCGGUGAAAUGCGCAGAUAUCAGGAGGAACACCGGUGGCGAAGGCGGGUCUCUGGGCCGAUACUGACGCUGAGGAGCGAAAGCGUGGGGAGCGAACAGG